rnacentral:rRNA from 1 species
UUAAGCGACUAAGCGUACACGGUGGAUGCCCUGGCAGUCAGAGGCGAUGAAGGACGUGCUAAUCUGCGAAAAGCGUCGGUAAGGUGAUAUGAACCGUUAUAACCGGCGAUGUCCGAAUGGGGAAACCCAGUGCAAUUCGUUGCACUAUCGUUAACUGAAUACAUAGGUUAACGAGGCGAACCGGGGGAACUGAAACAUCUAAGUACCCCGAGGAAAAGAAAUCAACCGAGAUUCCCCCAGUAGCGGCGAGCGAACGGGGAGCAGCCCAGAGUCUGAAUCAGCUUGUGUGUUAGUGGAACGGUCUGGAAAGUCCGACGGUACAGGGUGAUAGUCCCGUACACCAAAAUGCACAGGNUGUGAACUCGAAGAGUAGGGCGGGACACGUGGUAUCCUGUCUGAAUAUGGGGGGACCAUCCUCCAAGGCUAAAUACUCCUGACUGACCGAUAGUGAACCAGUACCGUGAGGGAAAGGCGAAAAGAACCCCGGCGAGGGGAGUGAAAAAGAACCUGAAACCGUGUACGUACAAGCAGUGGGAGCACCUUCGGGUGUGACUGCGUACCUUUUGUAUAAUGGGUCAGCGACUUAUAUUCUGUAGCAAGGUUAACCGUAUAGGGGAGCCGCAGGGAAACCGAGUCUUAACUGGGCGUUAAGUUGCAGGGUAUAGACCCGAAACCCGGUGAUCUAGCCAUGGGCAGGUUGAAGGUUGGGUAACACUAACUGGAGGACCGAACCGACUAAUGUUGAAAAAUUAGCGGAUGACUUGUGGCUGGGGGUGAAAGGCCAAUCAAACCGGGAGAUAGCUGGUUCUCCCCGAAAGCUAUUUAGGUAGCGCCUCGUGAANUCAUCUUCGGGGGUAGAGCACUGUUUCGGCUAGGGGGUCAUCCCGACUUACCAACCCGAUGCAAACUACGAAUACCGAAGAAUGUUAUCACGGGAGACACACGGCGGGUGCUAACGUCCGUCGUGAAGAGGGAAACAACCCAGACCGCCAGCUAAGGUCCCAAAGUCAUGGUUAAGUGGGAAACGAUGUGGGAAGGCACAGACAGCCAGGAUGUUGGCUUAGAAGCAGCCAUCAUUUAAAGAAAGCGUAAUAGCUCACUGGUCGAGUCGGCCUGCGCGGAAGAUGUAACGGGGCUAAACCAUGCACCGAAGCUGCGGCAGCGACACUAUGUGUUGUUGGGUAGGGGAGCGUUCUGUAAGCCUGCGAAGGUGACCUGUGAGGGUUGCUGGAGGUAUCAGAAGUGCGAAUGCUGACAUAAGUAACGAUAAAGCGGGUGAAAAGCCCGCUCGCCGGAAGACCAAGGGUUCCUGUCCAACGUUAAUCGGGGCAGGGUGAGUCGACCCCUAAGGCGAGGCCGAAAGGCGUAGUCGAUGGGAAACAGGUUAAUAUUCCUGUACUUGGUGUUACUGCGAAGGGGGGACGGAGAAGGCUAUGUUAGCCGGGCGACGGUUGUCCCGGUUUAAGCAUGUAGGCUGAUUAUCCAGGCAAAUCCGGAUAAUCAAGGCUGAGGUGUGAUGACGAGGCACUACGGUGCUGAAGUAACAAAUGCCCUGCUUCCAGGAAAAGCCUCUAAGCAUCAGGUAACAUCAAAUCGUACCCCAAACCGACACAGGUGGUCAGGUAGAGAAUACCAAGGCGCUUGAGAGAACUCGGGUGAAGGAACUAGGCAAAAUGGUGCCGUAACUUCGGGAGAAGGCACGCUGGUGUGUAGGUGAAGUCCCUGCGGAUGGAGCUGAGACCAGUCGAAGAUACCAGCUGGCUGCAACUGUUUAUUAAAAACACAGCACUGUGCAAACACGAAAGUGGACGUAUACGGUGUGACGCCUGCCCGGUGCCGGAAGGUUAAUUGAUGGGGUUAUCCGUAAGGAGAAGCUCUUGAUCGAAGCCCCGGUAAACGGCGGCCGUAACUAUAACGGUCCUAAGGUAGCGAAAUUCCUUGUCGGGUAAGUUCCGACCUGCACGAAUGGCGUAAUGAUGGCCAGGCUGUCUCCACCCGAGACUCAGUGAAAUUGAACUCGCUGUGAAGAUGCAGUGUACCCGCGGCAAGACGGAAAGACCCCGUGAACCUUUACUAUAGCUUGACACUGAACAUUGAGCCUUGAUGUGUAGGAUAGGUGGGAGGCUUUGAAGCGUGGACGCCAGUCUGCGUGGAGCCAACCUUGAAAUACCACCCUUUAAUGUUUGAUGUUCUAACGUUGGCCCCUGACCGGGGUUGCGGACAGUGUCUGGUGGGUAGUUUGACUGGGGCGGUCUCCUCCCAAAGCGUAACGGAGGAGCACGAAGGUUAGCUAAUCCUGGUCGGACAUCAGGAGGUUAGUGCAAUGGCAUAAGCUAGCUUGACUGCGAGCGUGACGGCGCGAGCAGGUGCGAAAGCAGGUCAUAGUGAUCCGGUGGUUCUGAAUGGAAGGGCCAUCGCUCAACGGAUAAAAGGUACUCCGGGGAUAACAGGCUGAUACCGCCCAAGAGUUCAUAUCGACGGCGGUGUUUGGCACCUCGAUGUCGGCUCAUCACAUCCUGGGGCUGAAGUAGGUCCCAAGGGUAUGGCUGUUCGCCAUUUAAAGUGGUACGCGAGCUGGGUUUAGAACGUCGUGAGACAGUUCGGUCCCUAUCUGCCGUGGGCGCUGGAGAAUUGAGGGGGGCUGCUCCUAGUACGAGAGGACCGGAGUGGACGCAUCACUGGUGUUCGGGUUGUCAUGCCAAUGGCACUGCCCGGUAGCUAAAUGCGGAAGAGAUAAGUGCUGAAAGCAUCUAAGCACGAAACUUGCCCCGAGAUGAGUUCUCCCUGAGACUUUAAGUCUCCUGAAGGAACGUUAAAGACGAUGACGUUGAUAGGCCGGGUGUGUAAGCGCAGCGAUGCGUUGAGCUAACCGGUACUAAUGAACCGUGAGGCUUAACCUU